UACGGGGGGGGCAAGCGUUGUUCGGAAUUACUGGGCGUAAAGGGCGCGUAGGCGUUUGGAUAAGUCAGCUGUGAAAACCACGAGCUCAACUUGUGGCCUGCAGUUGAAACUGUCUGGCUAGAGUGUGGGAGAGGGAAGUGGAAUUCCUGGUGUAGCGGUGAAAUGCGUAGAUAUCAGGAGGAACACCGGUGGCGAAGGCGGCUUCCUGGACCACAACUGACGCUGAGGCGCGAAAGCUAGGGGAGCAAACAGG
rnacentral:rRNA from 1 species